rnacentral:piRNA from 1 species
UAAGUGCCACAUUUUGAAACCAUCAGCUCUC